rnacentral:lncRNA from 1 species
ACCCAUAGUACCCCAUUCCUUGCUGCAAUGUAAUUAUAUUUAAUUACAAGUGUGCUCCUGGUGGUCUUUAACUGAAGGGCACUGACUGGGUCACUGGUGAAGUUCCCCGCAGGAACUGAGUCAGACCCCAUCUCAGGGCCCCGCACAAGAUAGGUGCCUGCACUAAGGCGUGGACCCUCGCGACAGCCCUGGCCCGUCUUGACGGGCGAGGGUUACUGUACUUGUCCCAACCGUACAGAUGAGAAAGCUGAGACUCAGGGCGAGCAACCCGGGUCCCAGCGGAGCGCCGGGCACGCGCCGACACUUCCGCACCAGUCGCGGUGGCCACCACUGUGCGCGGAGAUGGCUGCGACGCGUGCGCAGAUCUCGAUCCCAAACUCCCUCCUGCCAGAAUCUGGACCCGAAUCCACCCAUUGCCCAGUUUCCGCUGCCGCUGGAGAGAAUCUCUGAGGUCCCCAGGACAGCCUGCCUGCACGGAAGAGAUGCCUCCUCAAUUAAAUGCUGUUUUCCAUGACCGUCUCUGUUCUUCCCAUACGCGAAUGGCAGGCAUCCAGAUCUCCAAGAAUAGAGGAUUAGGAGAGACUCCACCACCUAUGUCCUCACAGUUAAUUAUCGAUUUGUGUCACUUGCCCAUUUUCUCACUUCCUGUUUGUGUGUCAAGGAGUAUUAAUAAAUCUUUGCCUAUUUAAAGAUAUUAGCCUUGGAUUUUCAAAUAUUGCAUAUUUUGACAUGUAAAAAUUUGUUAGUUUUAUUUUUUCAACCGAUCUGACCUGUAUAGUUGGGCUUGAGGAAGCUUCCUCAUUGUACAUGUUACUAUGGAUUUUCUAAUAUUAACACAGGGUUGUAUUUUUUCCAUAUAACUUUCUAUUGAAUUUCUUUUUCCAUAUGAUAGGUGGUGAAGGUUUAGCCCAGUAAAGCAGAGAGGUUAAGAGGUUAGAUUGGGGGCUCUGGAGCCAGACCUAUGUAGAUCCGAGUCCUGGCUCUGGCACUUGAAAGCCGUGUGACCUUGGUUAAGAUACUUAGCCCCUCUCUGCCAAAUGGAGAAAUAAGGGCACCUACCCCGUAGGGUAGUUGUGUGAUUACACAAGUUAAUACACUUCAAUCACUAGCAAGAAAGUGAAUGUCAAGCUGUAUUUGUUCAGGCAGCCAUAUGGUAGCCCCACCUCCUUAGUAAACUGAGGUAUUGAAGUAUCUUCUUUUUCUUUCAGAAAAUAUUUGUCAAGCACCUUCUGUGUUCUAAGAACUGUUCUAGAGCUUUGCAUGCUAUGGAGGUCUAGAAAUUCACAUUAUGGUGGCAGGUGACAGACAAUACAAAGAGAUAAAGCAAUUUCAUAUAGUGAUAACCUAGGGAGGAGUGCUAAAAGGAGCCAAGGUGUAGUGGUGACUGGAAGGUGACCAGGGAAACCACUGUAGGGUUUCUAGUGAUGAGACCUGUGACAAAUCCCUGUGGUCAGCAGCAGGCAUUGGAUAUGUAACUUUAUUCUGUCCCAUUGAUCUUGUAGUCAACCCUGGUCUGUUCUGUAUUGUUUUAAUUACAUAAUCUUUGUAAUAAUCUUUAA